GUGGCUUCAGCAGCACAGAUGCUAAAAUUGGAAUGAUACAGAGAAGAUUACCGUGGUCUCUGCCCAACAAUGACAGGCAAAUUUAUGAAGCAUUCCAUGUUUCU